rnacentral:lncRNA from 1 species
UGCUUAUCAUAUUCUUGCAAUUGUAAAAGAGAUAUAAUUAUAUACAUAAAUAUCUUGUAAUUGGUUGCUGUGUGUACAUUGGAGUAAAAUACCCUUAUAUCUAAUCAGUUUGGGCUGCAUUUCAUUUUUAUGCAGCUCAAAACACCAUAUCUGUUUAAAGGGGAAUAAUCCUUACAGAAAUUGAUUGUCUCCCAUAUUACUUUCUCUUCCAUGUGCAUGCAAUAACUGUUCAGUGUUCUAUUGCAAUCUA